GCCCCAAGCCGUGCCAGAAGACUCGGUAAGGCCCGAAGCGCAAACGUUAGUCGUAAUAAACAGGCGUAAAGGGUGUGUAGGCUGCUUUUCAAAACUGAUCUUUUUUUGAUAACUACUUUGGAAAAAAAAAUUUAAAACAAAAAGAAAUUGACUCUAGUGUUAUAAGAUAAUAGGUAAAAAAUAUAGAUAAACUGUAUUAUUUCCAGAAGAAUAAAAUAAGAAAAUCCUAUAAUACUAUUGACUAAUGCUAGUUUAGUAAUUUAAAUAAUGAAGAAUUAUUUAAAAAUUUAGUUUAUGAAUAAAAAAAAAUUUUAUUUAUAAUUAGUUUUUAUUUUUGCUCUUACAUUUUUUUUUUAGAUAAAAUUAGGUUUUUAUCUUUUAAUUCAAUUGGAAAAAAAAAGAAAGGCGACUAGAAGCUAGAAUCAGAUCGAGGUAAAACAAAAUAAUUCUUAGUGUAGGGAUUUUAUCUGAAGAUAUUAAGAGGAAUAAUAUUAGGUGUAAGCUUUUUUCCAUUAAUGAUUGACGCUGAGACACGAGGGCAAGUUUAGGGAAUAGGAUUAGAUACCCAAAAUACCUCUUGCUGUAAACGAUGCACGGUUUUUAUUAUUGGUAGUUUAAAUACUGCUACUGACGCUAACGCUAUAACCAUGCCGCCUUGCGAGUACGGUUGCAAAACUGANACCAAAAAA
rnacentral:rRNA from 1 species